GACGAACCGUGCGAACGUUGUUCGGAAUCACUGGGCUUAAAGGGCGCGUAGGCGGGCGUGCAAGUCAGGGGUGAAAUCCUCCGGCUCAACCGGAGAACAGCUUUUGAUACUGCACGCCUCGAGGGGGGUAGGGGCAUGUGGAACUUCCGGUGGAGCGGUGAAAUGCGUAGAUAUCGGAAGGAACGCCGGUGGCGAAAGCGACGUGCUGGACCCCUUCUGACGCUGAGGCGCGAAAGCCAGGGGAGCAAACGGG
rnacentral:rRNA from 1 species